AGAGGUCAGAUAUCUUAUUCUCUAGGCUGAAACCCUUGUUGCUUUAAGGAAACAGGAUUUUAAUAGGAAUCACAUGCAGAUUGACUACAGGGAGCCAAGCGGUAGUGGAAGAAGCAAAGUUGGCGGUUUUGGAGACGGACGUCUAUCUAUCCACAGUGGGACAAAAAUGAAGGUUAUUGAAAAGAAUCAUGCUUGGUGGAAGAAGUAAUUACAUUUUUUUUUCAAAUCUCAGAGGAAUAAUGCUUUUAUAUUUCCUGCGAUGACCCAAUUUGCACUACGAUAUGCUCCCUUAAAUGUGAUUUAAACAGAAGAGAGGACCACCCCGCCAACCAAAUGUCCAGGUCCUAUUCCAUGGAACCUAUGAACAGGUUGUCCCACAUUGCAAAAGGGACUUCACAGAUGUCGAAGAGCUAGAGAAGAUGCGAUAAUGGAAGCGGAAUCAAAGACAGAUUUGAAGAUGCUGCUGUCUUUGGAGAGAAUGGCCAGGAGGCAAGGAACACAAGCAGCCCCUAGAAGUUGGAAAAGGUUUCAAAAGGACUGGUUGAAAACUAAGAUCUUAAAUCAAUUCAUCGUGUUGGGAAUGGAGCAGGAUAGAGAUCGUUCCUGAAGGCCAUAUUCUAAACUUUGUCUGGUACCAAAACAGAGAUAUAGAUCAAUGGAAGAGAACAGAGGCCUCAGAAAUAGCGCUGCGUAUCUAAAACUAUCUGAUCUUUUGACAAACCCGACAAAAACAAGCAAUGGGGAAAGGAUUCCCUAUUUAAUAAAUGGUGCUGGGAAAACUGGCUAGCCGUAUGUAGAAAGCUGAAACUGGAUCCCUUCCUUACGCCUUGUACAAAAAUUAAUUCAAGAUGGAUUAAAGACUUAAACGUUAGACCUAAAACCAUAAAAACCCUAGAAGAAAACCUAGGCACUACCAUUCAGGACAUAGGCAUGGGCAAGGACUUCAUGGCUAAAACACAGAAAGCAAUGGCAACAAAAGCCAAAAUUGACAAAUGGGAUCUAAUUAAACUAAAGAGUUUCUGCACAGCAAAAGAAACUACCAUCAGAGUCAACAGGCAACCUACAAAA
rnacentral:lncRNA from 1 species